AAUAUUGGACAAUGGGUGAAAGCCUGAUCCAGCCAUGCCGCUUGAGUGAUGAAGGCCCUAGGGUUGUAAAGCCCUUUCAGCGGGGAAGAUAAUGACGGUACCCCCAGAAGAAACCCCGGCUAACUUCGCGCCUGCAGCCGCGGUAAUAAGAAGGGGCCUAGCGUUGUUCGGAAUUACUGGGCGUAAAGGGCGCGUAGGCGGAUUUGCAAGUUAGGGGUGAAAUCCCGGGGCUCAACCCCGGAACUGCCUCUAAAACUGCUAAUCUAGAGUUCGGGAGAGGUGAGUGGAAUUCCGAGUGUAGAGGUGAAAUUCGUAGAUAUUCGGAGGAACACCAGUGGCGAAGGCGGCUCACUGGCCCGAAGCUGACGCUGGGGCGCGAAAGCGUGGGGAGCAAACAGG
rnacentral:rRNA from 1 species